AGUGAACGCUGGCGGUAGGCCUAACACAUGCAAGUCGAACGGCAGCACAGUAAGAGCUUGCUCUUACGGGUGGCGAGUGGCGGACGGGUGAGGAAUACAUCGGACUCUACUUUUUCGUGGGGGAUAACGUAGGGAAACUUACGCUAAUACCGCAUACGACCUACGGGUGAAAGCAGGGGAUCUUCGGACCUUGCGCGUUUGAAUGAGCCGAUGUCGGAUUGGCUAGUUGGCGGGGUAAAGGCCCACCAAGGCGACGAUCCGUAGCUGGUCUGAGAGGAUGAUCGGCCACACUGGAACUGAGACACGGUCCAGACUCCUACGGGAGGCAGCAGUGGGGAAUAUUGGACAAUGGGGGCAAGCCUGAUCCAGCCAUACCGCGUGGGUGAAGAAGGCCUUCGGGUUGUAAAGCCCUUUUAUUGGGAAAGAAAAGCAGCAGGUUAAUACCCCGCUGUUCUGACGGUACCCAAAGAAUAAGCACCGGCUAACUUCGUG
rnacentral:rRNA from 1 species